UUGUGUUAUGCGUCUUUCUUGUUUUGUGUACCUGUUUCUUCCUUGCUCUGUGUGUUCAAUUUUUUGUUUUAUCUAUUUCUUCCUUGUCUUAUUUAUCUCUUCCUUGCUCGGUGUCUAAUCCUUUGCUACAUCUAUGCCUUCUGUGCUUUGUGUGCCUGUCUUCCUUGCUUUGUGGAUCUAUUUCCUUGUUUCUACUCCUUUGUCACCUCUAUUUCUUCCAUGCUUUGUGUGUCCAUGUCUUUCGUGUUUUAUGUAUCUACUUCCUCCUUGUGUGUCUAAUUCUUUGUCACCUCUAUUUCUUCCUUGUUUUGUGUGUCCAUGUCUUCCUUGUUUUAUGUAUCUACUUCCUCCUUCUACUCCUUUGUCACCUCUAUUUCUUCCUUGCUUUGUGUGUCCAUGUCUUCCUUGUUUUAUGUAUCUACUUCCUCCUUCUACUCCUUUGUCACCUCUAUUUCUUCCUUGCUUUGUGUGUCCAUGUCUUUCGUGUUUUAUGUAUCUACUUCCUCCUUGUGUGUCUUUUUCUUUGUUACCUCUAUUUCUUCCUUGUUUUGUGUGUCCAUGUCUUCCUUGUUUUAUGUAUCUACUUCCUCCUUCUACCCUUUGUCACCUCUAUUCCUUGCUUUGUGUGUCCAUGUCUUUCUUGUUUUAUGUAUCUACUUCCUCCUUCUACUCCUUUGUCACCUCUAUUUCUUCCUUGCUUUGUGUGUCCAUGUCUUUCUUGUUUUAUGUAUCUACUUCCUCCUUGUGUGUCUAAUUCUUUGUUACAUCUAUUUCUUCCUUACUUUGUGUGUCUAUAUAUAUCUUCCUUGUUUUAUGUAUCUACUUCCUCCUUCUAAUCUUUGUCACCUCUAUUUCUUCCUUGUUUUGUGUGUCCAUGUCUUCCUUGUUUUAUGUAUCUACUUCCUCGUGUGUCUAAUUCUUUGUUACAUCUAUUUCUUCCUUGCUUUGUGUGUCCAUGUCUUCCUUGUUUUAUGUAUCUACUUCCUUGUUUUAUGUAUGUAUUUCUUCUUUGCAUUGUGUGUCAUAAGUGUCUUCUCUGUCUGCACUGUCUUACCUAUCCCCACGUUUCUCUUGCAUGUUUUUCUUGUAGAGCUUUGAGCUUUGUUUUACUUUCUCUGGUGCCUGUGGGGUCUGCUGUGGUUCUCUGUUUUUUCUAUCUGGUUGCUAGUUCUCUUAGCUCUCUUUCACUCCUGUCUUUCCUGACUCGCCUUUGGGUCACAUGUUGUAUGCAUCCCUCUCUUUUUCUUGUGCUCACCCCACUUGUUCUUUGUGCCAGUUCUGUUUGUCAGUCCUUCGACUCACCAUUUCACAUUCUUCUUUCUGCUGUUUUUCCAUCCUUAGCACUUUCUUGUUUACAUUUCCUUCCUGCCUUUAUUGGGCCACUUUCUCUUUUUUCAUCCUUUGUGUUUGUGUCUCUUUGCUGUUGGUGAUUUCUUAUCUCAUCAUGAUUCUGUUGCUUGGUGUUUGCAUGUGUUUCCUUCUUCCUGUUCACUUUGAGCAUUUCUCUCUCUCUCUCUCUCUCUCUCUCUCUCUCUCUCUCUCUCUCUCUCGUAUUCUAAAGUAAUCCUCUCUUGGCUAUUUCUUUGUGUAUGUACAUAUGUGUGUGUGCAUGUGUGUCGUGUGUGACGGGCUUCAUAGCCCCUUCCCAAUAGGUCCAGAAUGUUACCUGUGGAGUCGUUCCUCACACCAGUCUGCCCUGAGAAAUAAUCUAAGACAAAAUACAUCAUUUCGUCUGUCCGGUCAGAAUUGAAGUGGAUCUGAAGUGAACACAUGUUAAAAAGCCCAAAGCGGAAGACAGAUGUUUUGUGACUUGGGACUUAAGGACCAAAGUACAUACAUGGCCCAUCUUGAGCUGGCUCGACAGAAUGCUGACAACUCAAAGGAGAGGGACUGUUUCUACAGGACGCCGGGGACGUCUAAGAACCGGGAGCUACAUCAUAAGACAGAAAACCUGAGCUAAGUCCAAGCAUAAAACCCGAGGACCCAAUCCUAUGUGGACAAAAUGUCUUAAGAGAUAAAGGCCCAUGGCCCAGAACUUUGGAAGGAUAGAAAUCUCAAGAUCAAGAAGAUGAGGCCCCCAACCCCAGCACCCUUUCCAUUUCUUAUAUUUCUAUUUAAGCUGGCUUCCCUUGAGGAUGUAAUUUUCAUUGUUGUCAUUCCCCAUAAAGGAAUAUAUUGUUAGGUUGAUAGUAUUGUGCAGGGGUCUGUUUUAAACUUGAUCUUAGGCAUUUGUUAAAUUUUUGAUGUUUUAACUUCCAUUUCUCUUCACAUCUGCUCCACUUGAGACAAGAGAACAAAAUCCAGUCAGUAUAUAUAUAUAUAUAUAUAUAUAUAUAUAUAUAUAUAUAUAUAGUCUGACAUUUGCUAUUCCCUGAGGAUACAGAUACCCAUACAGAUACUGUGCUUCCACUCUCCCUCUGUCAGAAGCCCUAGGCUGACAAGACAAGGAAAACAUCAGGCUGUUAGGGGAAAACAAUGUCAGGCUAUCUAGAGAAAAUAUGAAGAGUUGUUCCAGACCAGUGAGAAGAAUUAGACGAGCAAUAUGCAGAUGUGCCAACCUUCUGAGAAGGACCAGCCAACAUCACCUUCCUUCUUUGGGCUUAGGUGAGCAGGGUGUGGAAUUUCUAAUAAUGGUUUGGGGACAAAAUGAGGUCUGAACCCACUGUUCAUAGUAGUGGCCGAGUAAUUUGACGUAUUUCAUCAAAAGAAAUCCUGGGUUUAACACUCACCUUUAGGCUUAAUGAUGAGAGAAUCUGGGGACUACUUAACAGGCUUAAUUUUUAUUGUGCCUUCCUCUUCCCCUGUAAGGGGAAGUCAACUUAAAGACAUACGGUGAAAAACUAACAUGCUGACAGCACAUUGGCAAUCAUGCAUAGCGAGCAUCUGAAAUCAUGAUUUGAGUUUUCCUAUAUAUAAGGCAGGCAUAAGACUGUACCUGAGGUUUUGUGGGCCGCUGGCCUCAGCUGCAUGUUUUUCUUUUUAAAAUAAAGAAAAAACCUUUUCAAAAGGCACUGACUGGCCCAUUGCCUGUACUUGCUUAAGCCUUCAUAUAAAUAAAUGCCAUUUAUAUGUCUGAGUAACAUUAAUUUCCUUCUUUAUGCAUAUUUUUAUGCUGAGUACUAGGGAUGUGAUGUUUAACUGUGGUCACUCCCGGUAACAAGAUAUUACCAGGUAACCUGAAAAUGUAUGAAUACGUAAACCAUGAAGCACACGACAACUUCCAAGUCAGUGUUGACUAUGAGUGUGUAUUAUAUACCAGCCGAAUUCUACAGUUCUAUGUGCUUUAGGCACAAAGAUUGCUGUAGGAAUAACGAAUAAAAACAUAUGUAAACUUAAUGAGGCUUGAAUGAAGGAUACCCCAUCUACUUAAGGGCAGUGUGUUUCUUCUACUGCUCUGGUGAGGCUCAGUAAGUUGUAUUAUACCGGGUAGCAGAAGAGAAAGCACACGAAAACUGAGUUUUAAACUACAAAAUAGGCCACAGAUACAGGUGAUUGAUUACCCCAUUCGGAUCACCGUCUAAUUUCCAAAUACCGUGUUCAUUCAGCACUGGAGAUAAUAACAAAGAGGGACAUUACACAGAAGUAAAAUUUAUGAAAGAAUGCGUUCAAGUGCUUUGUAAAAUAAAGCAUUGUACAGUUAUUAAUUGCUCCCUGUGUGCAGAUGAAUGAAUGCUACCUAACCUCGUGUAUCAGGUAUUGUUUUGGGUACAUGAAAUAUUCAUGAGUAAGUGUCAUGAAUGUUUGCACCCUGUAGUAUUCAUUUACAAGGAAUGAGAUAAUGCUUAACGCUUAACUUAACCAGUCAAGACUUUAGUGAUGAGGGCAUGGUAAUACAUGUCACGGAGAAACACGUUAUCACUGUGUACUUUAACUGUAAGGCAGUUCACAAGUGUAAGACGUGACACACUUUCUAUAGAAAUAAAGCUGCCUACAAAAUAGGCGUGGUCUACAAACUUUUCAUUGUAUUUUUUUGGCCCACAAUGAGAAUAGUAGAAAUAGUUAACACACUGGGAGUGCUAGCAUAUGCUCUGAGCUCAAGUAGCUGAAGCAGCAGGACCACUUGAGCCCAGAAAUGAGGCCAGCCUCAAUGAGAUCAAUCUCAAACCUAGAGGCGAAAUAUUGUCUACUAAAUAUAUACUCUUUUAUGGGUGCUAGAGAGAUACACAGACUUACAUUUCAUUGUGUCCACAGCUAAGAGUAAUAUAUAUUGGCAUUUUAUGAACUCUGAGGUACCAUAUAAAUAUAACAAUUCAUUUUCUUAUUUGGUGCCAAUUUCCAGACUUUUAAAAUUCUGCCACAUUUAUUAUACUGUGAAAAUAAAGUAAAUAGGUGACUGUGGAACACUGAAUAUAUGAGGCAUUCAGCAUUUGAUGACUACCGCACUGAAUGGCAAUCAUUUAUUAUAAAACAGUGCCCUUGCUAGGCAUUGGGAUGCGAAGACCAUUCUUAAUGUCCUGUGUAUCUAAAGAAAUUGUAUACAAGAUUAAUUUAUAAUUUGUAAGCUGCCAUAUAAUGCAAUGUUUGCCUAGUGAGCAAUGACUACUUGCUUUUAUCCCCAGACAUGGCACCUGGAAAUACAAAAAUUCAUUACCAUUAUUAAUCCACAACAGAGAUCUGUGUGGCGCUUUAUGAAGUCUACAGUUCUAUAAAGCCAGGACUUAACCGUUGGCUUUAUCAGGGAACACUGAUUACUUUCUAAGUUUCAUAAUGGCUGAAUGCUUAUCACCCAAAGGCACCUAAUAAUAAUUUUACUGUGCUAUGUGUUGAGUGAACCAAGAUUGCUUUGUAGCAUUAUGUAGUACUCACAGGAAUAAAAUCUAGACCAAAGCCUCAUUUCACUUCAGUGAGGAAAUGAAAACAGAAAAAAAAAAAAUAGAUUUGUAUAAGGCAGUGUGCUAAGUGUUGCCCUAAAUGGGCUAUCCUGUCUAGAAGGAUACUUCCCGGUGGGCUUGACUGAGGAGAUGGAAAUUUACCAAUGAGAGGUACUUUUUCUUAAAUGUUGAAUGCUGCUGCUGGAGAUGAAUUACAAACACCUUGCCAGUAAAGGUGUGACAAUAUAGGGUCAGAGUCAUGUAAUCCCACAGCAUGGAUAUCAGUGAGGGAACAGAAAGGAAGGGCCCAGAGCAUCAGAUGCUACGUAUUUAGUGUGGUCUAGAACCUCUCAAAUUAGAAGUACAGGCUGGAGAAACCAAGCAUGCAGAGCACAACAGCUAAUUAAAUAUGGUAACCUAGGUCCUAAAACUAAAGUGUCGGGUGGACCUAGUACAUAUAUCACUGAUCAUAGAGGAGACAUGGUCUCAUACAACCCAGGCUGGUUCUAAUUGGUGAAUCUUCUGUCACAGCUUCUCAAGUGCUGAGAUUACAGAUGUGUGCACCCAUGCCCAGCCUGUAGAAUAUAUCUGAUUACUGAGUGAAUAAUAGUUUUUAAAGAAUAUUUUAUGUAUGUUGAGUACACUGUUGCUGUCUUAUGACAUACCAGAAGAGGGCGCCAGAUCUAUUACAGAUGGUUGUGAGCCGCCAUGUGGUUGCUGGGAACUACACUCAGUACCUCUGGAAGAGCAGUCAGGGCUCUUAACCGCUGAGCCAUCUCUCCAGUCUCCGAAUAAAUAUUUUAAUGGCUGUUUGCUUGAGGGUGCUAUGCUUGAUGGAUUAGUUAAAUAGGUAUGGCCUAGAAGACUCACUGACUGGCUUGGCGUAGAGAUUUUGAAAACUCAACAAAGGCCAAGAUUCCUUUAACAUAAAAUGGAGAUGUUCCUAGCUAACUAAGGAAGCUCCAAAGGUCAUUUCCUCAUUGGCCUAGCUUGAAGCUAGGCCAAAAGGACUUAAGGUCUCGGCUUUAAUUCAUUACCGGCUCUCCUUUCCUUACAGUUGAAGUAUUUCAAAGGAGAAUCAAGACGAAUAAUUCUAAACAUAUUUGCUCAUUGCCUGCCUCAGAGACAUGUGAGCAAUAAGAAAAUACUGUCAUACUCACACUUUUAACCCGAGGGUGAGUAAAGUGCAGUUCUCAAAAAAAAAGUACUCAAAAGAACAAAGACAUUUAAAGGAUGUAAGCCAAAGUGCACUUUACCUCAGUAGUUCACGAGGGGACUGCAGUAACACAAGAGACUACAGCUCUCACUUUAACUGGGGAGAAAAAAAAAAAAAUCAAGACAUGGAGGAGGAGAGUUAAAUAAAAAUAAGUUGUUCUUCUUAUGGGCCUGCUUGGUAGAGUGGAAAUAAGAGAGGUUCUCUUUCCUCACUCAGUUCCACACAUUGCGGAAGAUGCUACUGGAUGCUAAGUGAAACACCUCUAUUCCAAAGGGCAGGCACUUCGUGUGACUUACAGAUGCCUCCCAAAGCAGAGAGAUGUUCUUUAUGAAAAAAAUAUUAGCUCAGACAUUUUCUAGCCUGAAGGACACUUGCCUUUGACUGCCUCAUCUGUUCUACGAGCAUUUGCAUGUCUCUUCCUGAGCCUUCACUUGGCUCCUGAGACUUGAAAAUAAAGGAAGCAAACAGAUUUAGCUUCCCAGGAAGUGCUGGAUUUUGAGGUCUGCUUUCAGGAUAGUGGCACAACUUAGUCCCCAAGUAAUAUGUAAUUAAGCCUUCGUCCUCAUCUCUUCUCCGGCCACUGCAAUGAGUAGAAAGCUGGGUUUUGUAGCAACUCUGACCCUAAAGUUACAAAAGCCCUCCACGCAAAGAAGCUCAAUGUUCUAGCCCAAGUCCUAUUUUACCUAUGACUGUGACCACCAGGAUGGCCAUGUAAAUUCCACAAUCUUAGCUCCUUUGCAUUAUCCUGUGGCAAACAACCUGUUUUUAGCUGCAGCAGGCUGUGAAAUAAAUACACUGGCCUGUGUUCUGCCUUUCACCUGUUUACAUGCUAAUGCAUGUAAAUUGCCUGACUGGGUCUCUCUCAUAAAGCAUCAGUUAGCACACAGUAAUUUUAGAAAUGUUCUCCUUACUAGAAAGUGUAUAUAUUCAAGGCGGUUUGCAAUGGUAAAAUAAUGCCAGUAGAUGAAAAUAACAUUAAAGUUCAACAUGCUUGCAUAAAAUUUAAGCAUAAUAAAAUUGAAAAUUGGAGGAAAGACCAAAUCGAAAGAACUUGGAAAAAACAAAACCCAAAAAUGCCUUCUACAAGAAGGACAGACUGUGCUUUGACCCUUUCGAUUUUUCUUUCACUCACAGAGGGUGGGACAGGAGGACGAGUGAAAGAAAGGGUCAGAGCUAUCUGGACUGCUUUGUUUUUAAUGCAGUUCCACAAAACUGAUAUUAAUUCGCUAAAUGUUUCUGGAAAUGUAUUUUCACCUAAAUGGCUAUCAGCUAAGCCUUGAUGGGAAUGAAAUAUAUUAGUUCAAUCAAUGUGACCUCUUUAUCCAAGUUGCCUUAAAGCUGAAGUCACAAUUUGCUGUAAAGGUUCUUAUUCACUGUGGCCCACGCAUACUUUCAAAGUAUCUAGACUUUACUCAGCGAGCCAAUCACAAAAUCCUCAGAGAAGGAAACACAAAAGGGACAGAAUACAUGGAGCCAGUUUGAAGAGGUCUGGUGGUUCAAAAUAUUUUGCUUUUCAUUUUCAUUAAAAAUCUGGUAUCAGAA